AGCUGGUGGCAUAGUGGUUUGAGUGUUGGACUAUGGUUCUGGAGACCAGGGUUCGAAUCCCAACUUGGCCA
rnacentral:tRNA from 1 species